rnacentral:lncRNA from 1 species
GGGAGGGCGGUGGGCUGGGGCUGCGGGGAUGCGCGGCGCGUGGCCGGCCGCCCCCAGCUGUGGCGUCGCUCAGGCCCGGCUUAGCGGGCCAGGGCCAGGGAUUAGGGGCAGUGGCCGCACCUGGCGGGGCGGCCGCAGGGCUAAUGCUGUGUGACCGCGCGGCCCCGCCCGACAACUGGCUCCCUCCCGCCGGGAAGGGUUGUGGGCUCGUUAGCCCGCCGGCGUGUGCGCGGGGGUGUGCGCGGCCAUGGGCGGCGUGCGCACGUGUGGACCCGGGGCCCCGCGGCUGUCGCUGACGGCCACCGGCUGCGCUGGACUGAGAGGCGCCCUGAGUGAGGAAGGGAAGCGUAGGGCGCCCUGGGAAGGGUAGCGGCCUGAAGAAGCUCAGAUCACCUCUGACAUGGGCUCCUUGGAUGUUGUCUGCAUCUCCUGGAGAUAGGAGCUGCCCGAGAUCAGAGGAUGGGAUGCCAGGACCCAUAGCAGGUGCCUGGACAGACUGGGGCUGGAGAGAAGGGCUGGGUGCAGCGAGCCAGCCUCUGGCCCAGAGCAGGACUCAGAGAGACACGUUCUGAAACCCUCCUCUUCCUCCUCCUAUUGUUGAUAAUAACAGCUCCCAUUUCCCAGGCGCUGACUGUGGGCCUUGCACCGUGUUUGACACUGUGUGUGCGUUAUCUACGUCAUCCUAAUCAGUCCUGACAGCUGGGUGUGGUGAUCCCCAUCUUUCUGAGGAGGCAGUUGAGAUUCAGAGAGGUUCUGUGUGUUGACCAAGGUCACCUCGCUGGUCAGAGGCAGAGCUGGGAUUCACGUCCAGCCCCUCCCUGCCCCUGUCUCUCAGUGCUGACCCCAGGGG